rnacentral:rRNA from 1 species
GAUGAACGCUGGCGGCGUGCCUAACACAUGCAAGUCGAGCGGCAGCGCGGGGUGCUUGCACCCUGUCGGCGAGCGGCGGACGGCUGAGUAACGCGUGGGAACGUGCCCCAAAGUGAGGAAUAACUGCCCGAAAGGGUAGCUAAUACCGCAUAUUAUCUUCGGAUCAAAGGAUUUAUCCGCUUUGGGAGCGGCUCGCGUCGGAUUAGGUAGUUGGUGAGGUAAUGGCUCACCAAGCCGACGACCCGUAGCUGGUCUGAGAGGAUGACCAGCCAGACUGGAACUGAGACACGGUCCAGACUCCUACGGGAGGCAGCAGUGAGGAAUCUUCCACAAUGGGCGAAAGCCUGAUGGAGCAACGCCGCGUGCAGGACGAAGGCCUUCGGGUUGUAAACUGCUUUUAUAAGUGAGGAAUAUGACGGUAACUUAUGAAUAAGGAUCGGCUAACUACGUG